rnacentral:rRNA from 1 species
GACAGAGGGGGCAAGCGUUGCUCGGAAUUACUGGGCGUAAAGGGCGCGUAGGCGGGAUGGCAAGUCGGUCGUGAAAUCCCUCGGCUCAACCGAGGAACGUCGAUCGAUACUGCUGUUCUUGAGGAUUGCAGAGGAGACUGGAAUUCCCGGUGUAGCGGUGAAAUGUGUAGAGAUCGGGAGGAACACCAGUGGCGAAGGCGGCUUACUGGUCCGGUUCUGACGCUGAGGCGCGAAAGCGUGGGGAGCAAACAGG